rnacentral:lncRNA from 1 species
GAAAGUUUAUGGCUUCAUGUUUAUAUAUCUAAAUUAUUUAUGAAUACUCUUGAGAAGUCAUUUUCCUUAAUUUGCGUAUCAAAUACCGAAAAAUGAAUAAGAUUACUACUUGUUUUCCACGAAAAAUAUUUUUCGUCAUACCAAACACACCCUUAGUGUCAGCUCACGUCCAGCUCAUAAGUUAAUUGUUAGUUAGUUAGGCUAAUUACUUGUACACUAGGGGUGUGCAUUCGAUU